UACGAAGGUCCCGAGCGUUGUUCGGAAUCACUGGGCGUAAAGGGAGCGUAGGCGGCGCGGUAAGUCAGAUGUGAAAUCCCGGGGCUCAACCCCGGAACUGCAUCCGAUACUGCCGUGCUAGAGGAUUGGAGAGGUAGCUGGAAUUCUUGGUGUAGCAGUGAAAUGCGUGGAUAUCAAGAGGAACACUCGUGGCGAAAGCGAGCUACUGGACAGCUCCUGACGCUGAGGCUCGAAGGCUAGGGUAGCGAAAGGG
rnacentral:rRNA from 1 species